UACGGAGGGUGCUAGCGUUGUUCGGAAUUACUGGGCGUAAAGGGCGCGUAGGCGGCCGUUUGCGUCGGAUGUGAAAGCCCGGGGCUCAACCUCGGAACGGCAUUCGAUACGGGACGGCUGGAGACCGGGAGAGGAGAGUGGAAUAGCCAGUGUAGAGGUGAAAUUCGUAGAUAUUGGCUGGAACACCGGUGGCGAAAGCGGCUCUCUGGCCCGGUUCUGCCGCUGAGGCGCGAAAGCGUGGGGAGCAAACAGG
rnacentral:rRNA from 1 species